AAAAAAAUUAGCUCUUACUGAUUUUUCAACUUCUUCUUUGCAGCUAGCGCUCAGCCACAAUACUGAAUAUACUUGGACGAAAUCUUGGAUAUAGGUGGACGACACACACAGAAGCGCUCCCGCGGUCUUCACAGACGGAGAGGGAAGCAAAACGCUCACCAGAGCUUCAAUUCACGCGACACGCCACAGUUUCCUGCCGCAAGUUGCAGUAGAGCUACUGGCAAACCGAAUAAAAUGAUGGUAGCUAACCAAUUGUUGGUUCCACGGCUGCUGCAACCAAGGGCAAAGCACACAGGAUCUAGAAUCAACUUUCGCGGGCAAUUUACUGGCAGUUUGGCAACGAAUGAGUCGUGUUGGAUGGCGAAUUCACCAAUCUCAAAUAUGUAACGUCACACACGCAAAAAAGAAACAAGCACUGGCCGUCCGUCCUCAGAAAACCAGUGCAGCUAUGAAAGUUGGCAAAAAUACAACAAAUUACUUUUACACACACUCAAUAAACACUACACCUGUUACUUACAAAGGCAUGAGUUAACACAAACUAAUUAUUUUAAAUAAAAUCGGCAACAAAAAAAAACACUGA